rnacentral:tRNA from 1 species
GCCUUCCUAGCUCAACUGGCUAGAGCAUCUGCCUUGUAAGCAGAGGGUUCAGGGUUCGAGUCCCUGGGUAGGCU